UCCUGUUGGGAGCAUGAGCCAAGAGAACUAUGACAUGGGCAAUGUCCCACCAAGCCAUGCGAGUGAUGUUGCCACCCUGUGGGUCUGGAAGGCAGAGCAUGAAGUGAGGAUACAACCAGAAGUCGUCAGUCUGCAACCUGGAACAGGACCCUCAUCAGAACCCAACCAUGCUGGCAACCUGCUCUAGGAUUUCCAGCCUCUCAAACGCCAAAAGCAAAGCACAACAGACAAUGCAAACAAAAAGCAAAUGAACAAAAGAAACUUGAAAGGAAAGAAGUGGUGAUAAAGUCUAAGGACGGGGAAAUGUGCUAUGAAGCAAGAAGCGAAGGAUUCCAGUGAAACGUAAGGGAAAUGCUAAAUGAAAGAUGGGUAUACAGCGUGAGACAGAAUCAAGAAAUGGUAAGAGGUUGGAUAGAGAAGAAUCAAGCUGCCGGGUGGUGAGUCCAAACACUGCUAAAAUCCAAUUCUAAUUAUACACGAGCCUCUUCUCUGCAUUUGUUUAAUUUCAUUCUUCUCUGCAAAUACAGAAACAGCUGUUUCCCUUUUGACACAAUUAUCUAAGUCCAGAAGCUUUUGAAAUGUCCCUUUGAAAGGUUUGCAGACCUUACAAGAAGCCUAAACAUAUUAAGUAACAGACCUUUUGGAUUUUAGACAAGGAAAGCAUUUUACUCAAGGCCUUGAAACUACCGGCCAGAGGACCUAGGGUGGUGGAAGGAACCAUGGUGUGUCUCAAAGUCAGGAUGAAUGGCAAUACUUAUUUGACCUUAAAAGUCAACAACUUGACCAUUAGCUUGACUACAUUAUGAGUGAAAAAUUGACCUAGAGUAUUCAUCCAUUGGCUGACCAGCAGCUAAUCAGAUUGUCUUUAUUGAACUUAGUUUGAACUAAGAUAUUGAUAAUCUAUAGUCAAUUGUUGAUGGGCACCAGAAUAUAGUCAAGUAGAUUUAGGAUUAGCGGUUCCAUUGGACCAUGUAAGUCAAGAGACACAAAUAGAAAACUGAGUAGUUCCCUCAAGAGAGAGAAAAUACUAAAAGAAAAAAGGGGAAGACUACAAAAGAGACAAAAAUGAAUGAAUGUGUGGCCCCACAGAGAUGGAAGUGAGGGGUGAAGCCAGCUGGACUUCUGGGUCGGGUGGGGACUUGGAGAACUUUUCUGUCUCGCUAAAGGAUUGUAAAUGCACAAGUCAGCGCUCUGUGUCUAGCUAAAGGUUUGUAAACGCACCAAUCAGCACUCUGUAAAAACAGACCAAUCAGCAUUCUGUAAAAUGGACCAAUCAGCACUUGCAAAAUGCACCAAUUGGCAGGAUGUGGGUGGGGCCAAAUAAGGCACUAAAAGCUGGCCACUUGAGCCAGCAGCGGCAACCCACUCAGGUCACCUUCCACACUGUGGAAGCUUUGUUCUUUGGCUCUUCACAAUAAAUCUUGCUGCUGCUCACUCUUUGGGUCUGCACUACCUUUAUGAGUUGUCACACUCACUGUGGAGGUCUGAGGCUUCACUCCUGAAGUCAGCGAGACCACGAACCCACCAGGAGGAACAAACAACUCCAGAUGCACCACCUUUAAGAGCUGUAACACUCACUGCGAAGGUCUGCGGCUUCACUCCUGAUGUCAAGCGAGACCACGAACCUACCAGCAGGAAGAAACUCUGGACACAUCUGAACAUCUGAAGGAACAAACUCUAGACACACCAUCUUUAAGAACUGUAACACUCACCGUAAGUGUCCGCAGCUUCAUUCUUGAAGUGAGACCAAACACCCACAGGAAGGAACCAAUUCCGGACACAGAAGUAUUUUCCAUUCCUAUCAACUUUUCAUUUCCAUCUUCAUGAAGACUCAGUAUCCAAACUCAGUAUCCAAUAAACAAACAAUGGCUAAUAUUUCUGAACACAUAACCAUA
rnacentral:lncRNA from 10 species